rnacentral:rRNA from 1 species
UACGAAGGGGGCUAGCGUUGCUCGGAAUCACUGGGCGUAAAGCGCACGUAGGCGGCUUUGUAAGUUAGAGGUGAAAGCCCGGGGCUCAACUCCGGAAUUGCCUUUAAGACUGCAUCGCUUGAAUCCAGGAGAGGUGAGUGGAAUUCCUGGUGUAGCGGUGAAAUGCGCAGAUAUCAGGAGGAACACCAAUUGCGAAGGCAGCUCGCUGGGACGUUACUGACGCUGAGACGCGAAAGCGUGGGGAGCAAACAGG